AAUUUACCCUUAUCAUAUUAAAUCUUUAGUUUUUGUGACCCACUACCAACAGUGAAUCGACGAUUCUCAGCCCAGAAAGCCUGCUACAGUACUACAGGACCUCACCCUUCAUGCACCGUCCGGGACGAUGUCCACGGGUUCAUCGAUCCAUCCGUCUACGCCUCAUAGCCGCAUCACCCCGAUCCCCUCCGUCAUCGCUCCUAACCAAUCAGCGCACCCAUCGUCCCAAAAUCCCCAAAUCUUCAUCGCCUCCUCGUGAGGUUCGUCGGCGCCGACACCGCCUUCUUGCGGAGCCUGCGGCCAGCGUCGCCGCUUUCUUGUCGAGCCAGCGAGGGAAAUCGCGGCGCCAUCUUCGCCGCCCUCGCCGGACCAGCGUCGCCACGGAGCUAGCCGGCGGCAUCUGCCUGCUCACGGAGCCAUCGGGCAAGCGCCGCAGCCGACCGCCGCCCUCGUCUCUUCGGCGAUCCAGCAGCUGCCGCCGCCUUUCGUCUGCUAGCUGCUAACGGUUGUCCAACUAGCUCGAUCCCUGUCCGUGCUGCUCCGUAUCCUCUUUCAUUCGUCAGUUUCAGGACCAGCCAGGGUACACAAACGACAAUUGUUGACAUACAGA